ACAGUUAAUUAAAGCCAACCUCAAAAACAAGAUUGACCCCACAAGAAUCAAUGAACAAUCAUUCAUUAGCCUGGUUUAAUUUCGUCCAUAUUGGUAUUAUAUCAGAUUCUGUGUGACUGAGCCAUUCAAAGCAAUCCAGAUUCAACUCGGUAACCUUUUAAUUUACAAAUUGAAGUUCUACCUCUACUUGGCAUUACUGGAUAUUGAUGAAAUUUCUGUGAUUUCCCUGUCAAAAUAAGUAGCCUGAAUCACAAACCAUUCAGCACCUACAAGGUCAGCUAGACGUUCUGGUUUUUUUGCAAGCGUGAAAUUGCCAUUUUCUGGUGCAAGGCAAGAGGUAUUAGUCCAUCAUAAAACAGAUAUCAUGAACUUAAUGUAUUGAACCUUGAAUUUAGCCAAUGGUCAAUCGGAUUGAAGCAGGCAACUUGACUGGACACCUAAAAAAUCCUUCAGAUCAGGAUUGUUACCGCCAUUACAACCACUAUUACAACUAUUAUUCAGAAGCUGUUGCUGCUGCUGAUCAAGACGAUGAUGAUGUUGAUGGUGAAAACUGGUUUAUGGGUGAAUCAAGAUGGAAACAAGAAUCAAAGUAUUGAUAGGAACAGGACGUAAAAAAAAGUAAAGGAAAAAGAGAUCAUCAUCUUGAUGUAAAAAUGGCUUAACGAGGUUGACCAAAUUAAGACGAGAUUAUCAUUUGAUCGUUUACCAAUCAUGCUUAAUUUAUUCAAUGGCAAUAAACAGCAAGCAAACAAAUGUUGGUCCAACACUGUGAACUCAAUCUUUGCAAGGAUGUACAAGGUGAAAGGUUGAAAUGGCAGACUUGAGAUAAUCUAAAGAAAUGAAAGCUCAAACAGUAAAGAUGUUUCCUUCAUGUCAAGAAUCAAUGUUAAUCGUCUUAUUGGAGAGAACUGCAAAUGCUGGCCAAAAACAAAAAAGAUGCUCUACUAAUCAACUGAUUGUGAAUGAUAUUGUUUAAGUAUUAUAUCUUAUUGGAUUGACAGCAACAGUUUAAUUGAGAUUGUCGAGUAGAACAACAAAAAGCUGAUUACUUAAAGGUCAAUAUAUCGAGCAAUGAACAUCUUUCCUUACAAUUUUACUUAUUUCAUUGGUGCAUUAUUGAACAACCAGAUUAUCGUCUGGAUGUUGACAUUUGUUCAGGUUUAUUGUUGCAAUGAACCCGAUGUUGAUUAGCUGAUUCAAUCAUUUACCAUGUUUAACAAUAUUUAUUGACAUUACGUUGACUGUUGAUGUUAAUUAAACUGUAUUGUUACACGCAAAUGUACAUUUUUAUUACAGAAAUGUUUAUUAACUGAUUGCUGUUUAAAGUUUGUUUGUUUCUUUCAUUCGUUUAAAUAUUGAUAUCAAUUGUAUGAAUGAUUAUCAUCUUGUUAAUUGUAAUUAUAAAUCACUUUUUUUCUUCUUGUUUAGUCUUUAAACAGACUUAAGCACAUCUCUACUUGUUACUUGAUUAACUCCAAGGUUAAUUUUUAAUAAACUAAUCAUUUAUACCGA